UCCUCAUGUGGAAACCUUCCCUGAGUGAAUCUCUGGAACCCACCACCAGUGAAACAAUUACCUUCCAGAUAUUCUGCUCCGCAGCUCACAACAUUCAAGCUCCUGAGACCUGCUUCCUCUGUGCAACCUGUCCCAAUAAACAUCGACAUCCUUCAGACACACUUCACUCACGGUUCUCACCCCGCAUUCCCUCACUCGCUCCACUGGCUCUCAUCAUCUGCAGUCCAAGGUCUGCGACUGUAAGCUGAGACAUUUGUGAUGCCCUCACGCUGCCAGAGUUAUGUAGUCUGGGGGACAACGAGCUGGGGCCGUCAGGAGAGGAGCUGUGUCAAAGUUAUGCACAAAUAACCGUUUGACAUUAAAAAGUCUGAACACAGCUCAUUCUUUCACUGACGCCAUCAGAUUCCUGAGCCACAACAGCUUUGAAGAGUUUCUGGAUCUUCUCCAGACCUCACAUUCUGUGUAAGAAAUAUUUAUCCAUGUUU